rnacentral:lncRNA from 1 species
AAUUACUAACUCCUUUUCAAUUCGUUAGUAAAGGUACUAACGAUAUACUAACCAAAAAUUAGUUGGUGAAUUUACCAACGGAAAUUUCAGGGCCAUGUUUCAAAAUUUUGUAACAACAUCUUUGGGUGUUUACCAACUGAUUUUUUGUUGGUAAGUUUACCAACAAAUUAAAAUCGGUUGGUAAUAUUUACCGACGAGCCUUUUAGCAACGGAUUAAUAUAAGUUGGCAUUUGGUUGGUAACUCAAUUUGCCAACCAA